rnacentral:rRNA from 1 species
UACGUAGGAGGCGAGCGUUGUCCGGAUUUACUGGGCGUAAAGCGCGCGCAGGCGGCAUGGCAAGUAAGGUGUGAAAUCUCCCUGCCUAACGGGGAGGGUGCAUUUUAGACUGCCAAGCUAGAGGACGGUAGAGGGGGGUAGAAUUGCUGGUGUAGCGGUGAAAUGCGUAGAGAUCAGGAGGAACACCGAUGGCGAAGGCAGGUCUCUGGGCCAUUACUGACACUGAGAAGCGAAAGCAUGGGGAGCGAACAGG